UACGGAGGGCGCAAGCGUUACUCGGAAUCACUGGGCGUAAAGAGCGUGUAGGCGGAUAGAUAAGUCAGGAGUGAAAUCCUAUGGCUCAACCAUAGAACUGCUCUUGAAACUGUCUAUCUAGAAUAUGGGAGAGGUAGAUGGAAUUUCUGGUGUAGGGGUAAAAUCCGUAGAGAUCAGAAGGAAUACCGAUUGCGAAGGCGAUCUACUGGAACAUUAUUGACGCUGAGACGCGAAAGCGUGGGGAGCAAACAGGAUUAGAUACCCUGGUAGUCCGCGCCCUAAACGAUGUACACUAGUUGUUGUGAGGCUCGACCUUGCAGUAAUGCAGUUAACACAUUAAGUGUACCGCCUGGGGAGUACGGUCGCAAGAUUAAAACUCAAAGGAAUAGACGGGGACCCGCACAAGCGGUGGAGCAUGUGGUUUAAUUCGACGAUACACGAAGAACCUUACCUGGUCUUGACAUACUAAGAACCUUUAAGAGAUUAGAGGGUGCUAGCUUGCUAGAACUUAGAUACAGGUGCUGCACGGCUGUCGUCAGCUCGUGUCGUGAGAUGUUGGGUUAAGUCCCGCAACGAGCGCAACCCUCGUCGUUAGUUGCUAACAGUUCGGCUGAGAACUCUAACGAGACUGCCUACGCAAGUAGGAGGAAGGUGAGGACGACGUCAAGUCAUCAUGGCCCUUACGACCAGGGCUACACACGUGCUACAAUGGGGUAUACAAAGAGCAGCAAUACAGUGAUGUGGAGCAAAUCUCAAAAAUGCCUCCCAGUUCGGAUUGUAGUCUGCAACUCGACUACAUGAAGUUGGAAUCGCUAGUAAUCGUAGAUCAGCUAUGCUACGGUGAAUACGUUCCCGGGUCU
rnacentral:rRNA from 1 species